rnacentral:rRNA from 1 species
CCGCGGUUACACGAAAAGCCCAAAACAACGACUAACGGCGUAAAAUGUGACUAGAGAUGCACCUAUUAAAAGUACUUAAACCCACCGCCUAGCUGUAAAACACUCAAGGGGUAAGGAAAACCAACUAAAGUGCUUUUAAUGUAGUACCCUUGAAUUCACGAAAGCUUAGAAACAAACUAGGAUUAGAUACCCUACUAUGCUAAGCAUUAAACAAUGAGGAAAACACCAUACAACACCCUCCGCCAGAGAACUACAAAUGAAAAAUUUUAAACUCAAAGGACUUGACGGUGUCCCACAUCAACCUAGAGGAGCCUGUCCUAUAAUCGAUAACCCUCGCUUUACCUAACCUCAACUAGCACCUUCAGCCUAUAUACCGCCGUCGACAGCUCACCCCAUGAGGGUUUAAUAGUAAACAUAAUAGUCUAUCACUAAUACGCCAGGGCAAGUCGU